CAGGAGGGUCUGUGCCGGGGAGACCCAUUAACCCCCCCGAGCCCGGCCCGGGCCCUGCUCCCGCUGGAGCCGCCCUGGGGCCGCCCCGGGCUCUGCCCGCCCCGCUGCGGAGCUGCAGCCUCCAGGCUACAGAAUAACGUCCACGUUUCACUCCAAAUCAUCCCCUCCUCCCAGCGGGAAGGAAAUGGCUGCAAUGGAGCUGGCUCAGGGGCCGGUGACUUUUGACGAGGUGGUUGUGUAUUUCAC